GAUGAACGCUGGCGGCGUGCUUAACACAUGCAAGUCGAACGGUGAAGCAGAGCUUGCUCUGUGGAUCAGUGGCGAACGGGUGAGUAACACGUGAGCAACCUGCCCUGGACUCUGGGAUAAGCGCUGGAAACGGCGUCUAAUACUGGAUACGAGACGUGGCCGCAUGGUCAACGUUUGGAAAGCUUUUUUGGUUCAGGAUGGGCUCGCGGCCUAUCAGCUUGUUGGUGAGGUAAUGGCUCACCAAGGCGUCGACGGGUAGCCGGCCUGAGAGGGUGGCCGGCCAAACGGGGACUGAGGCACGGCCCAGACUCCUACGGGAGGCAGCAGUGGGGAAUAUUGCACAAUGGGCGAAAGCCUGAUGCAGCAACGCCGCGUGAGGGAUGACGGCCUUCGGGUUGUAAACCUCUUUUAGCAAGGAAGAAGCGAAAGUGACGGUACUUGCAGAAAAAGCGCCGGCUAACUACGUGCCAGCAGCCGCCGUAAUAC
rnacentral:rRNA from 1 species